UAGUCCACGCCGUAAACGAUGGAUACUAGGUGUUCGGAGUGUUAACCCUCUGAGUACCGGAGCUAACGCAUUAAGUAUCCCGCCUGGGGAGUACGGUCGCAAGGCUAAAACUCAAAGGAAUUGACGGGGGCCCGCACAAGCGGUGGAGUAUGUGGUUUAAUUCGAAGCAACGCGAAGAACCUUACCUGGGCUUAACAUUCAGUGCCAGCUCUAGAGAUAGAGUUUUCUCUUCGGAGACGCUGGGAUAGGUGCUGCAUGGUUGUCGUCAGCUCGUGCCGUGAGGUGUCAGGUUAAGUCCUAUAACGAGCGCAACCCCUGUUGUUAGUUGCCAGCAUGUAAAGAUGGGAACUCUAACAAGACUGCCGGUGCAAACCGAGAGGAAGGUGGGGAUGACGUCAAAUCAUCACGGCCCUUACGUCCUGGGCUACACACGUGCUACAAUGGUAGGGACAGAGAGCAGCCACUGCGCGAGCAGGAGCGAAUCUAUAAACCCUAUCACAGUUCGGAUCGG
rnacentral:rRNA from 1 species